rnacentral:misc_RNA from 1 species
AUCGAGCUAAACCAAAAAGUCUCCUUACGUGCAUAAAUUCCAUUUGUGCGUAAUCGUGAGCCAUGCAUCAAGCCAUACACAUGUGGUGGCAGCCGUCCGCUGUUUUGUGGCGGACAAUGGCUUUGGCUUGAUGUGUGAUGAGGGGAAGUGAGUGACCUGAUAUGCUUGACAGGCAGGUCGAUUGCGCUCAUUUUCUCGUUAUUUGUAACAACGGUAUCCAUUUGGCGUCUACGCCGUACCUAGCUAUCGCCUGGACCGUCGAUAGCAAUGAAAGGUGCGGAGAAAGUUCCUUAUUUUGAGUUGAGCAGACUUAAUGAGCCCUGCAAGAGGGCCGCCAAAACCAAAACACAACCAUUUCUUUAUUUUUUAUAGUUGAUCGGUAAAUCGAGGUGUUCGUUAUCUGACAACAUGUGGUUGUCGAUGCGGAUGUCUUGGUGAAUCGUUAACUA